GGGUUUUUCCUUCCCGCAGUAGCAUGAAACAGUUUGUAACAGGUUCUCCUGGCGCGUCCCAUUGAAGCAGCAGGUGUCUCCUCCCUCUCCUGUUGCGAUGCGCCCUACUGGCCUCGCUCGUCUUGAUCGACCGGCGAGGCUCUUU
rnacentral:sRNA from 1 species